ACAUGCGAUCAUAUCAGCACUAAUGCACCAGAUUCCAUCAGAACUCCACAGUUAAGGGUGCUUGGGCAAGAGUAGUACUAGGAUGGAUUACCUCCCGGAAAGUCUUCGUGUUGCAUCCC
rnacentral:rRNA from 1 species